AUUGAACGCUGGCGGCAGGCCUAACACAUGCAAGUCGAACGGGUGGCGGACGGGUGAGCAAUGUCUGGGCAACUGCCUGAUGGAGGGGGAUAACUACUGGAACCGGUAGCUAAUACCGCAUACCAUCGGAUGUGCCCAGAUGGGAUUAGCGAGUAGGUGGGGUAACGGCUUACCUAGGCGACGAUCCCUAGCUGGGCUGAGAGGAUGACCAGCCACACUGGAACUGAGACACGGUCCAGACUCCUACGGGAGGCAGCAGUGGGGAAUAUUGCACAAUGGGCGAAAGCCUGAUACAGCCAUGCCGCGUGUGUGAAGAAGGCCUUCGGGUUGUAAAGUACUGUAAGCGGGGAGGCGGUACCCGAAGAAGAAGCACCGGCUAACUCCGUGCCAGCAGCCGCGGUAAUAC
rnacentral:rRNA from 1 species